CUACGGGGGGCAGCAGUGGGGAAUUUUGGACAAUGGGCGCAAGCCUGAUCCAGCCAUUCCGCGUGAGUGAAGAAGGCCUUCGGGUUGUAAAGCUCUUUCGCAAGGGAAGAACACUUAGCUACUAAUAUUAGCUGAGGUUGACGGUACCUUGAUAAGAAGCACCGGCUAACUACGUGCCAGCAGCCGCGGUAAUACGUAGGGUGCGAGCGUUAAUCGGAAUUACUGGGCGUAAAGCGUGCGCAGGCUGUUUUGUAAGUCAGAUGUGAAAUCCCCGAGCUCAACUUGGGAACUGCGUUUGAAACUACAAGACUAGAAUAUGUCAGAGGGGGGUAGAAUUCCACGUGUAGCAGUGAAAUGCGUAGAGAUGUGGAGGAAUACCAAUGGCGAAGGCAGCCCCCUGGGAUAAUAUUGACGCUCAUGCACGAAAGCGUGGGGAGCAAACAGGAUUAGAUACCCGGGUAGUC
rnacentral:rRNA from 1 species